UACGUAGGGUGCGAGCGUUGUCCGGAAUUACUGGGCGUAAAGCGUGCGUAGGCGGUUUGUUAAGUCUGUCGUGAAAGCCCCGGGCUCAACCUGGGAAUGGCGAUGGAAACUGGCGAGCUAGAGUACGGUAGAGGAGAGUGGAAUUCCCGGUGUAGCAGUGAAAUGCGUAGAGAUCGGGAGGAACAUCAGUUGCGAAGGCGGCUCUCUGGACCAGUACUGACGCUGAGGCACGAAAGCGUGGGGAGCAAACAGG
rnacentral:rRNA from 1 species